AAAAAAAAGAAGUCAAAACAAAUGAAGAUAAUAGUCAUCUAAUCGUACGGCUGUGAACAGAGUAACACACAUCACCAAAAUAAAACUGCAACAUAGAAUCACGCACCAAAGCAUACUUUUAAAAUCGACUUUGGAGCCGCGUCUUCUUUACUCUUUCUGCAAGGUUGUCGUGUGAGAACAGUGGACAUACUCACACUUCAACUCUUAAGCUUCGGUCUCUUCUUGUUCUUCUCUCUUCAUCUUUCUUUGGAUUCUGUAUCUAUUUCUGAUACCAGCCAGAGCCAAAAAGAAUCUUGUAGGUUUUAGCUAUGAAUGAUCCACGGGUGAGAUCGUUCCAGAUAAGUCCUGGUGACUUAGAGGCUGCUCAGCUUGAUGAUCUCAUAAGGGAGAUAGAACAGAAGAGUCUCUUUUACCACCAAGAGAAGAAAAAGUCUUUGAGAGCUCGUUAUGCCUAUGGAACCAUCUUCUUGAUCAUAAACCUAUGCGCUUGGUUCAUCCGUGACUAUGCACAAAAGACUCUGACCUUGCUUCCACAUGUCAGUAGUUGUGGACCAGAAGGAAGUCAUUGUUUCCAUACUCUUGGGGUACUCCGAGUGAGUCUUGGAUGUUUCAUGUUUUUCCUCAUUUUGUUCCUCUCAACAUGGAACACAAUGAAACUCCACCAAGCUCAAAACAGCUGGCACUCAGAUUAUUGGUCCUUCAAGUUUCUCCUGCUGGUUUCAGCCAUGGUUGCUUCUUUCUUCAUACCUCAGCUUUACAUCCAAAUAUACGGAGAAAUCGCGCGUGUUGGUGCAGGGAUAUUUCUUGGUCUUCAACUUAUAAGUGUAAUCGAAUUCAUCACUUGGUGGAAUAACUACUGGAUGCCUAAUAACCAAAGCAACCAAAGCUGUUUUUUGGGUUUGGUCAUGUCAAUAGUUUUCUACAUCGGCUCUGUUUGUGGGAUCGCAGUGAUGUACUACUUCUAUGCAGCUUCUACUGCUUGUGCCCUCAAUAUAUUCUUCAUCUCGUUUACUGUUGUGCUUCUAACUGUUAUGAUGGUUGUAUCCUUGCAUUCAAAGGUGAAGAGCAGCCUUAUGUCAUCUGGUAUUAUGGCUUCAUACAUUGUGUUUUUAUGUUGGUCUGCCAUCAGAAGCGAACCUUCACAUACCAAAUGCAAUGCGCAUACACAAAAUGGUCAUACCGAUUGGAUUACAGUACUGAGUUUCCUUAUAGCUAUAGGCGCAAUUGUGAUGGCAACAUUCUCAACCGGGAUCGAUUCAGAAUCCUUCAGCUUCCAGUUCCGUAAAGACGAAGCUAAAGAAGAAGAUGAUAUUCCAUAUAGCUAUGGAUUCUUCCAUCUUGUGUUUUCCUUAGGAGCAAUGUACUUUGCUAUGUUGUUCAUCAGCUGGAACCUCGAGCAUUCAGCUAGGAAUUUAGAAGUGCAACACACAGAUGGAGCAUUGAUGUUGGGUGGACAAGCACAUGGGUGAAGAUAGUGAAUGAGUGGUUUGCUGCAGGGAUAUACCUGUGGAAGUUGAUUGCACCUAUUGUGAGACAGCCUAGGGUUCAUGAGCAACCUCAGCCAGCAACAACAGAAGUCAGCAGAUAGAUGAUAGAUGGAUGCAUGUGGGUUUUGUGUAUCGAAACUUACACCAUCAUGGUCUAAUAACAUAUCGGAUUCAAAGUUUCAAGGUUAUCAAAUUAACAGGUACUCCCUCCGUUUCGAAUUAUAUGUCGUUUUGGAGCAAAAUUUUCGUUUCAAAAUAAGUGUCGUUUUAUGAUUUCAAUGCAAAAUUUAUUGAUUUUUUAAUCUAUUCUAUUUUUCUAUUGGUUUAAAUCUGGUUAGUUGUAUUGGUAAUGAUAUUUUUAUCUAGUAAAUAUACAAAAUUAAAUGUUUUAUUAAUCUGUGUGCCGAAGUCUAGAACGACAAAUAAAUUGAAACGGAGGGAGUAAUAUAUAUACCUAAAACCUGAUAUAAUGUAUUUUGUCAGUAUUCAUAAUUAUGAAACCCUAACGUAUAUGAUCAUAAAUCAUUAAGCCCUAAUUCACAAAUCCUAAACCCCAAAUAUUAAUGUUUUUAUUUUAUUUUUACCCCUCAUAUAUUGAAAAAACCACAAAAAUACAAUUAUAGAUAAUUAUUAACUUAAAGCCGGCGUGUUUAAAAAAAAAAAAUAUAUAUAUAUAUAUAUAUAUAUCAAAUUUAUUAUUAUGCCAAAUUCGUUUAUAAUUAUUAAAACUACUGUUCCAGUUAUAGUUGCAAAUCUUUUUCAAAUUAAUAACAAACAACAAAAACUAGAAAAUUAAAAGUCGUUAACAUUACAAAUCAAAUACACUAGGCCAAUCAUUAUAUUUACCAAUCUUCCACAAAUACAUUUUUUUCAAAUAGAAACAAAAUAAAUCGGAAGUUUCUAACAAACUGUCGGAUAUGCUGAUUUAGAAAAUCUUAUUUUCCAUAACUUAAACUAACUUGAUACUCAAGAUUUUUAAUAUUGAAAAAAAUAUUCUCAAACUGUAUUGAAUGGAAAUACUGUAUGCUAAAAUAUCGGCCUUGACCAAUCUUAUAUAUACUGCAUUCUAAACCUCAAAGCAAUCAUAUUUUUUUCAAUGAAUAAUAGCUAUAAAUGUCUUCCAGUCAAAAGAUAUCGUACCUUGACGAGGUUAGUCCAUGGAAAUGGAUAUGGUUUAGUCCAUGGAAAUGGAUAUGGUUGAUCCAAGUCAAUGCUACAUACCUGCAAACCAUCCAACGCCGGGUUUGGUGAGAGUUUGGAAAUCAUAUUUGCAGAUAAAAAGGUAAAUAUUAUUCAUCAUCUUGAAAGAGUACGUUUUGUUAUUGUAGCGAAAGUAUGUCCAGUCAAAUCUUAUAUGGUUUUGUUAAUCAAUCAAUUUAAAAAAUAAAAGCUUCAAUAUCGAUCUGUUUAUUUAUUUAUUUUGUGUAUGUUUUGUUUUCAUGAAAUCGCGUAAGUUAACAUCUAUGUUAUUCUUAUAUUUUCUGUGGUUUUGUUUUUGUUCUUCGUGAACGUUAAUUAUAUUGCAUUAGCUAUAUAUGGAUCAAGAAGAAAUACAAAGAUGUUAAGUUCAAUUUACCUUUACUGAUCUGUUGAAGUGCUUUUAUGGUGGAUCUCUAUCUUUAUGCAGUAAGCCAUCAAAUUGGAUGAUUUAACGAGGAUCUACCUCUGAAAGUUUCAGAUCGGCUUCGAUUUCUUUUUAUCCAUAACAUCAAAGCCAUCUGACAUGACAUUCAAAACAAAUCAAUAAAUUGUUUCAGAAAUAUGUGUAGCUUCAACUAUCUAUGAAGGAUGAAGAAUGAAGAUCAAAAGAUUUACCAGCGAAGAGAUUCGCUGAAGAGAAUCAAGAUUAACAAAAGAUUCCUUUCCCAAUCGCCAUUUGUAUCAAUACUAUUAAAGUUGAAAUAUGACCAACUGAUAUUAGUUGUAUCCACUUUUUAAAUUUUAUACAGCAAGCAAUUCAUACAUUAGAUGUUUUGAUUUCUCCAUGCCAAAUACCAUUUUGUAUAUAUAUUAUCAAUAACAAUUAAUAGCAUUUAUAUUCAUGAUAGAUAAAAUAUCAAAAGUAAUUUA